CUGAAGAAAAGUUUAAAAAAAUUGGGAUUCUGGAUGAGGACUUCUCUUGCUCAGAUAUUCACUCAAAAUUUGGGCUCGGUCUAAGUAGAGAAGAGCAAGAAAUGAGAAAACAAGUUUGUGGGCUAAACACCAUUGAGGUGGAAAUUAUUCCAAUUUGGAAGCUGCUUUUCAAAGAGGUUUUUAACCCAUUUUACGUUUUUCAAGCUUACUCGUUAAGUAUGUGGAUAGCUACCGGAUACAGUGAAUAUAGCUCAGCUAUUAUCAUCAUGACUUUGAUGUCAAUCUCUGCAACCAUAUACAAUCUGAGAGUG